CAUAGGUUAAUGAGGCGAACCGGGGGAACUGAAACAUCUAAGUACCCCGAGGAAAAGAAAUCAACCGAGAUUCCCCCAGUAGCGGCGAGCGAACGGGGAGGAGCCCAGAGCCUGAAUCAGUGUGUGUGUUAGUGGAAGCGUCUGGAAAGGCGCGCGAUACAGGGUGACAGCCCCGUACACAAAAAUGCACAUGCUGUGAGCUCGAUGAGUAGGGCGGGACACGUGGUAUCCUGUCUGAAUAUGGGGGGACCAUCCUCCAAGGCUAAAUACUCCUGACUGACCGAUAGUGAACCAGUACCGUGAGGGAAAGGCGAAAAGAACCCCGGCGAGGGGAGUGAAAAAGAACCUGAAACCGUGUACGUACAAGCAGUGGGAGCACGCUUAGGCGUGUGACUGCGUACCUUUUGUAUAAUGGGUCAGCGACUUAUAUUCUGUAGCAAGGUUAACCGAAUAGGGGAGCCGAAGGGAAACCGAGUCUUAACUGGGCGUUAAGUUGCAGGGUAUAGACCCGAAACCCGGUGAUCUAGCCAUGGGCAGGUUGAAGGUUGGGUAACACUAACUGGAGGACCGAACCGACUAAUGUUGAAAAAUUAGCGGAUGACUUGUGGCUGGGGGUGAAAGGCCAAUCAAACCGGGAGAUAGCUGGUUCUCCCCGAAAGCUAUUUAGGUAGCGCCUCGUGAAUUCAUCUCCGGGGGUAGAGCACUGUUUCGGCAAGGGGGUCAUCCCGACUUACCAACCCGAUGCAAACUGCGAAUACCGGAGAAUGUUAUCACGGGAGACACACGGCGGGUGCUAACGUCCGUCGUGAAGAGGGAAACAACCCAGACCGCCAGCUAAGGUCCCAAAGUCAUGGUUAAGUGGGAAACGAUGUGGGAAGGCCCAGACAGCCAGGAUGUUGGCUUAGAAGCAGCCAUCAUUUAAAGAAAGCGUAAUAGCUCACUGGUCGAGUCGGCCUGCGCGGAAGAUGUAACGGGGCUAAACCAUGCACCGAAGCUGCGGCAGCGACGCUUAUGCGUUGUUGGGUAGGGGAGCGUUCUGUAAGCCUGUGAAGGUGUGCUGUGAGGCAUGCUGGAGGUAUCAGAAGUGCGAAUGCUGACAUAAGUAACGAUAAAGCGGGUGAAAAGCCCGCUCGCCGGAAGACCAAGGGUUCCUGUCCAACGUUAAUCGGGGCAGGGUGAGUCGACCCCUAAGGCGAGGCCGAAAGGCGUAGUCGAUGGGAAACAGGUUAAUAUUCCUGUACUUGGUGUUACUGCGAAGGGGGGACGGAGAAGGCUAUGUUGGCCGGGCGACGGUUGUCCCGGUUUAAGCGUGUAGGCUGGUUUUCCAGGCAAAUCCGGAAAAUCAAGGCUGAGGCGUGAUGACGAGGCACUACGGUGCUGAAGCAACAAAUGCCCUGCUUCCAGGAAAAGCCUCUAAGCAUCAGGUAACAUCAAAUCGUACCCCAAACCGACACAGGUGGUCAGGUAGAGAAUACCAAGGCGCUUGAGAGAACUCGGGUGAAGGAACUAGGCAAAAUGGUGCCGUAACUUCGGGAGAAGGCACGCUGAUAUGUAGGUGAAGUCCCUCGCGGAUGGAGCUGAAAUCAGUCGAAGAUACCAGCUGGCUGCAACUGUUUAUUAAAAACACAGCACUGUGCAAACACGAAAGUGGACGUAUACGGUGUGACGCCUGCCCGGUGCCGGAAGGUUAAUUGAUGGGGUCAGCGCAAGCGAAGCUCUUGAUCGAAGCCCCGGUAAACGGCGGCCGUAACUAUAACGGUCCUAAGGUAGCGAAAUUCCUUGUCGGGUAAGUUCCGACCUGCACGAAUGGCGUAAUGAUGGCCAGGCUGUCUCCACCCGAGACUCAGUGAAAUUGAACUCGCUGUGAAGAUGCAGUGUACCCGCGGCAAGACGGAAAGACCCCGUGAACCUUUACUAUAGCUUGACACUGAACAUUGAGCCUUGAUG
rnacentral:rRNA from 1 species